GGGGAAGGAAAGGAGAAGGAGAAAAUGUUUCUGAAUAAACCUUUAGUUAAAUCUAUAUAAGAUUACCUUUUGUUUUUGCGGGAAGCCGUUAUAAAACACUAACCUAUACUAGAACACAUAGUGAGACUUGAGCAAUCCAGAAAAAAACUCUGUAAAUGCCCCAUAACAAGAUGAUUCCAUGCUCAAUCUCAAUGCUGUUGCUAAGUAACAGUGAUAUCCUUCAGAACACGGACAAGCAGGCUAUGGAAGUGUAUUGUGAUAGUGCUGUGCUGUAUUACGUUGGAACACAGCAAAAAUUAUGCAAAGCCAAAGAAUGACAAAGAGAAAGACAAGCACACAACCCAGGGACAUUGCUAAGAAGCACAUAAAAGAUCUAGGACCUGGGCCCAUAAGUAAGAAAUUGGUAUACAGUUACUGUAUAAAGAAAAGCUAACACCUCCCCCUCAAAAUAAAUCCGCCACUACAGGAAAUAUUGCCAGGGCAUUUUUCACACAGCGGGCUUUACUGCAAGACGUUACUGAGAGUUCAAAGGUGCUCCAAAAAACCGAUGCAAAAAAUUGAUAUUUUUACCCUGGAUAUAAAUCAGGCUACACUCUUAACACGCAAUGAAAAACCUGAAUCGUGUGUGAAGUGCUCCUCGAUAGCUCACAGUGACUUCAGGGGAAAAUCUGGCCAACAUGUGAAUGCACACCCUCCAUUCUGGAGGAGAUGCAAGCUAAAAGCCCUCUGUGAAAAACGCCCAGGGAGAGCAAGCUGAAGCUAUUUCUUACAGCAGACCUGUUCUUGCUCCAUUGUCUUCACAAAGGGCUGCCUUUGCUCUCCCUCAGCCUUACUCCUCUACUUGCAGGUGGUGGUAGCCAGUAAGCUCAACCAUGUUUUCUCCAAGCUACUGGUUGCCUUGUGGUGAUGGGAGGGGACAGAAGAGGAAGGAGCCUCUGCUUGCAUUCAGCAUCAGACAGGUGUUGCAGGAACUCUAUGCUUGAUCAGAUGUGCAGGUAAAAUUUUGCAUACAUAAUCCUGCCACUGAAAUUAGCCGAAUGCUCUGCUUCUUACACCAGAAUAUGCUCGGUGAAAAUCUAAACAAGUUUUUUGUAAUUUUUUGGAUAAAUUCUGAACAACAUACUUCCUGAUUGCCUACAGAAAGGCAGAAGAUCUUUCUCUGAUUCAAAUUUACUGUGAUUCAAAUAUACCAUAUAUGGUAAUUAUUCAAUAAAAUGAAUAAAGUUCA